GACGAACCCUUAAGGGGUGCUUAACAUAUGCAAGUCGAACGGAAAGGCCCUGCUUUUGUGGGGUGCUCGAGUGGCGAACGGGCUCAAAACACGUGAGUAACCUGCCCUUGACUUUGGGAUAACUUCAGGAAACUGGGGCUAAUACCGGAUAGGAGCUCCUGCUGCAUGGUGGGGGUUGGAAAGUUUCGGCGGUUGGGGAUGGACUCGCGGCCUAUCAGCUUGUUGGUGGGGUAGUGGCUUACCAAGGCUUUGACGGGUAGCCGGCCUGAGAGGGUGACCGGCCACAUUGGGACUGAGAUACGGCCCAGACUCCUACGGGAGGCAGCAGUGGGGAAUAUUGCACAAUGGGCGGAAGCCUGAUGCAUCAACGCCGCGUGCGGGAUGACGGCCUUCGGGUUGUAAACCGCUUUCGCCUGUGACGAAGCGUGAGUGACGGUAAUGGGUAAAGAAGCACCGGCUAACUACGUGCCAGCAGCCGCGGUGAUACGUAGGGUGCGAGCGUUUGUCCGGAUUUAUUGGGCGUAAAGGGCUCGUAGGUGGUUGAUCGCGUCGGAAGUGUAAUCUUGGGGCUUAACCCUGAGCGUGCUUUCAAUACGGGUUGACUUGAGGAAGGUAGGGGAGAAUGGAAUUCCUGGUGGAGCGGUGGAAUGCGCAGAUAUCAGGAGGAACACCAGUGGCGAAGGCGGUUCUCUGGGCCUUUCCUGACGCUGAGGAGCGAAAGCGUGGGGAGCGAACAGGCUUAGAUACCCUGGUAGUCCACGCUGUAAACGGCGGGUACUAGGUGUGGGGUCCAUUCCACGGGUUCCGUGCCGUAGCUAACGCUUUAAGUACCCCGCCUGGGGAGUACGGCCGCAAGGCUAAAACUCAAAGGAAUUGACGGGGCCCCGCACAAGCGGCGGAGCAUGCGGAUUAAUUCGAUGCAACGCGUAGAACCUUACCUGGGUUUGACAUGGAUCGGGAGUGCUCAGAGAUGGGUGUGCCUCUUUUGGGGUCGGUUCACAGGUGGUGCAUGGCUGUCGUCAGCUCGUGUCGUGAGAUGUUGGGUUAAGUCCCGCAACGAGCGCAACCCUUGUUCACUGUUGCCAGCACGUUAUGGUGGGGACUCAGUGGAGACCGCCGGGGUCAACUCGGAGGAAGGUGGGGAUGACGUCAAGUCAUCAUGCCCCUUAUGUCCAGGGCUUCACGCAUGCUACAAUGGCUGGUACAGAGAGUGGCGAGCCUGUGAGGGUGAGCGAAUCUCGGAAAGCCGGUCUCAGUUCGGAUUGGGGUCUGCAACUCGACCUCAUGAAGUCGGAGUCGCUAGUAACCGCAGAUCAGCAACGCUGCGGUGAAUACGUUCCCGGGGCU
rnacentral:rRNA from 1 species